GACGAACCGUCCAAACGUUGUUCGGAAUCACUGGGCUUAAAGGGCGCGUAGGCGGACUGCCAAGUCCGGGGUGAAAUCUUUCGGCUUAACCGGAAAAGGGCCUUGGAAACUGGCGGUCUCGAGGGAGGUAGGGGCCUGUGGAACUUCGGGUGGAGCGGUGAAAUGCGUUGAUAUCCGAAGGAACGCCGGUGGCGAAAGCGACGGGCUGGAUCUCUUCUGACGCUGAGGCGCGAAAGCCAGGGGAGCAAACGGGG
rnacentral:rRNA from 1 species